AAGAAAGAUCAACCAUAUUGCAUGCUUCAAAGCUCAAUUGUAUUAUAACUUCUAUCUCCGUUUCAAAAUAUAAGAUCACUUGCCUUUGUAUGUUACAAAGGCAAAUUAUACAAAAAACAAUUAAUAUUAUAUUUUGGAACAGAGGGAGUAUUUAAUAUUUAUUACAAAAUCUCAGCUUUAAACAUUUUACGAACAUUCUUAUACUUAAAUACUCAUGGAAAUUAAAAGAGGUCAUCCACAAAGAAGGGCAGAGUUAUGUACUCUACCAAAUAUAUAUAUACAGAAGACAGAAUCCUUAUUUUUAGAAGGUAUAUUCAUGUAUUUGAAUUUUUAUUCAUAUAUAUGAUGGUCAUUUCACUAAUGUAAAGAGCACUAUAUAUAUAUAUAUAUAUAUAUGGAGUUUUUAGAAGUAUUGCUUACUGUAGAGGUGAUUAUCUAAGCUUCCAUUCUGCAUGUAUUCAUAAACAAGGAGGAGUUCCUUGUCUUCCUGGCAAUAUCCCAAGAACUUAACAAGAUUGCGAUGACUACAAUUUCCCAAGAAUUCUAUCUCCGUCUGCACCAACAACUUCAAAAACAAAUCUUAGCAAAAUUAAGUAGUCAAGAGAUUCUAUAACUAACUAUCACAUGUUAAAUGUCUCAGUAAUACACAUUACUGAACAUUCUUCAAAUUCUUUUGAGGAUAUACUCUACUUCAUUUCAGAUUGGUUUUCACUCUUCUCUCAUAUGUUCCUCCUUCAAGAUUGCAUAAUAUAACAGCAUUGUUGAAAUUCAUGUGCUCAUUUUCUAUAUGCAACAAUUUCUCUCUCUAAAAUGCUGAAAUUUCUCGACACGUUAAGUUAUGCUCCGAUGUGCUAAUUUCAUAGUAUUUUUUUGCAAACACUCAGCAACUUCAAAAGUCCAAUUUAGAUGCGCAAAGAUCGAUGGACAUAUAUAUAUAUAGAGAGAGAGAGUUUCUUUCUCCCAAAGAAAUUUGUUCUUUGUCUGAAUAUAUACUCCAUAAUAAACUGAGUAAGAAAAUAUUAGAAUGCUGAAAGUUAUGAAAGUUAGGUAAUAUAGUUGAUGUGUUCAAACUAGUCUUGUAAAGAACAGAUGUAAAAGUUAAUGAACUUUCCACCCAUAAAAAAGUUUCAUGGAGGCUCAAACAACAAAACUUGAGUUACUUCUUGGAAACGUAAUUUUCGACUGAGUCCGAAUAAUUUGUUGAUGUUAGUAGAAAGUCCAUAUUUAUCUCUAUUUAGAUAUUUAAAAAAAUAGGUAAUAUGAAAGGAAAAUUACCUGCCACUCUUCAAAUAUUUGCAUUCUCUUAACGGCAAUGGCCAUUCCAACACCAAACUCUGAUGGGGCGUAGGUUUUCUCAUGGACCCAACCUUCGUAAACUCUUCCAAACCCUCCCUUGCCCAACCUCGUAUCUGGUCUAAAGUGUCUUGUUGCUUUCCUCAACUCAGCUAAUGUGAAAAUUUUCAAAUUUGGGGCCAUAAUCCUGUUAUCGUUGCUUCUUCUGUUCCUUGAAGGCUUUGCAUCGCUAUGUCCUGAAAAAGGGAAGGACAAUCUAGGUAACAUGAUUAUAUGAAAAACUACCACAAACAUACCAAUGAAAACAUAUAGAACCCCAAAUCCUCGUCCAAAGACGAUUUCAGAGUCAUUCGACUCUGCAAAGCCAACUACAUACUUAUUUAAAAGGUUCUUGACAGAGAAUGAAGAAAAUACUCUAGCACAAUUUCCCAAAACCAAAAAUGGUUUGAUUUAUGGAUGUAAUUUUGUUCAGUUGUUGUCCCAUUAAGAAGAGACUUUCUGAGAAAUAGAUUCAUCUCAUCAACCAAUAUAUACGCUAUAUCACUAUAUUAUUGUGAAGGACCCAACCACUCCAAAAUUUCCAUGGUUUCUUAUCCUCUAUUCUUUUUGCUGAUUCUAGAAACUCAAUUGUUAAAAUAUUUUAGCUUCUUAAUGGUACGACUCGAAAUCGUCGCCGGGUCCGUCGCUAAAAGGGAGUGAGCACUGGUGAGUAAAAUAAGGAGUAUACACUUGAUCCUUGAGCCAGCGAACAUAAAACCACUUUUAUCUAAAUGUUUUCAAUAAAAAUGAAAUAAAUAUUGAGAAUUCUCAAGCGCACUAGUCACUAGUUGUAUAAAAUGGUGCAAGACUUACUAGGCUCCCACAAAUCUACUUGUAUUGCCUCCGGUUUCAUCUAGGUCGAACAACCAUGCCAUUCCAAAAUCUGCCAAGUUUGGGAUUCAUCUCUGCAUCUAACAGAACAUUUCUAGCUUUUAGAUCACGAUGAAUAAUCCUUAGCCUAGAAUCUUCAUGAAGGUAAAGAAGUCCCCUAGCAACACCUCCUAUGAUUUUGUAUCGUCUUUCCCAAUCCAAAUAUGAACUCUUUACUGAAUCUACAAGAAAGAUCAACCAUAUUGCAUGCUUCAAAGCUCAAUUAUAUUAUAAACUUCCAAGAAAAAUAACUGCUAUCUCCGUUUCAAAAUAUAAGAUCACUUGCCUUUGUAUGUUACAAAGGCAAAUUAUACAAAAAACAAUUAAUAUUAUGUUUUGGAACUGAGGGAGUAUUUAAUAUUUAUUACAAAAUCUCAACUUUAAACAUUUUACAAACAUUCUUAUACUUAAAUACUCGUGGAAAUCAAAAGAGAUCAUCCACAAAGAAGGGCAGAGUUAUGCACUCUACCAAAUAUAUAUAUAUAUAUAUAUAUAUAUAUAUAUAUAUAUAGAAGACAGAAUCCUUAUUUUUUAGAAGGUAUAUUCAUGUAUUUGAAUUUUUAUUUAUAUAUAUGAUGGUCAUUUCACUAAUGUAAAGAGCACUAUAUAUAUAUAUAUAUAUAUAUAUAUAUAUAUAGUGCUCUU
rnacentral:lncRNA from 1 species